AUUGAACGCUGGCGGCAGGCCUAACACAUGCAAGUCGAACGGUAACAGGCAGAAGCUUGCUUCUUUGCUGCCGAGUGGCGGACGGGUGAGUAAUGUCUGGGCAACUGUCUGAUGGAGGGGGAUAACUACUGGAAACGGUAGCUAAUACCGCAUAACUUCGCAAGACCAAAAAGGGUGAGCUUCGUGCGGCUUUCGAUCGUAUGUGCGCAGAUGGUAUUAGCUAGUAGGUGGGGGAACGGCUCACCUAGUCGACCAUCUCUUGCUGGUGUGAGAGGAGGCGCGGCGACAUGAGAACUUGAACAGGCACCAUGGUCCUACGGGAGGCAGCAGUGGGGAAUGUGGGACAGUGGGGGCGAGCAUGAUGCAGCCAUGCCGCGUGUAUGAAGGAGGCCUUCGGGUUGUGAAGUACGUUCAGCGGGGAGGAAGGGAGUAAAGUUAAUACCUAUCCUCAUUGACGUUACCCGCAGAAGAAGCACCGGCUAACUCCGUG
rnacentral:rRNA from 1 species